rnacentral:rRNA from 1 species
CACGUAGGGUGCGAGCGUUGUCCGGAAUUAUUGGGCGUAAAGAGCUCGUAGGCGGUGUGUCGCGUCGGCCGUGAAAACCUGCAGCUUAACUGUGGGCUUGCGGUCGAUACGGGCAUCACUGGAGUUCGGCAGGGGAGACUGGAAUUCCUGGUGUAGCGGUGAAAUGCGCAGAUAUCAGGAGGAACACCGGUGGCGAAGGCGGCGCCCUGGCUCGCAACUGACGCUCAGACACGACAGCAUGGGGAGCGAACGGG